GAAUAAGCACCGGCUAACUACGUGCCAGCAGCCGCGGUAAUACGUAGGGUGCAAGCGUUAUCCGGAAUUAUUGGGCGUAAAGGGCUCGUAGGCGGUUCGUCGCGUCCGGUGUGAAAGUCCAUCGCUUAACGGUGGAUCCGCGCCGGGUACGGGCGGGCUUGAGUGCGGUAGGGGAGACUGGAAUUCCCGGUGUAACGGUGGAAUGUGUAGAUAUCGGGAAGAACACCAAUGGCGAAGGCAGGUCUCUGGGCCGUUACUGACGCUGAGGAGCGAAAGCGUGGGGAGCGAACAGGAUUAGAUACCCUGGUAGUCCACGCCGUAAACGGUGGAUGCUGGAUGUGGGGCCCGUUCCACGGGUUCCGUGUCGGAGCUAACGCGUUAAGCAUCCCGCCUGGGGAGUACGGCCGCAAGGCUAAAACUCAAAGAAAUUGACGGGGGCCCGCACAAGCGGCGGAGCAUGCGGAUUAAUUCGAUGCAACGCGAAGAACCUUACCUGGGCUUGACAUGUUCCCGACGAUCCCAGAGAUGGGGUUUCCCUUCGGGGCGGGUUCACAGGUGGUGCAUGGUCGUCGUCAGCUCGUGUCGUGAGAUGUUGGGUUAAGUCCCGCAACGAGCGCAACCCUCGCCCCGUGUUGCCAGCGGAUUAUGCCGGGAACUCACGGGGGACCGCCGGGGUUAACUCGGAGGAAGGUGGGGAUGACGUCAGAUCAUCAUGCCCCUUACGUCCAGGGCUUCACGCAUGCUACAAUGGCCGGUACAACGGGAUGCGACGCGGCGACGCGGAGCGGAUCCCUGAAAACCGGUCUCAGUUCGGAUCGCAGUCUGCAACUCGACUGCGUGAAGGCGGAGUCGCUAGUAAUCGCGAAUCAGCAACGUCGCGGUGAAUGCGUUCCCGGGCCUUGUACACACCGCCCGUCAAGUCAUGAAAGUGGGCAGCACCCGAAGCCGGUGGCCUAACCCCUUGUGGGAUGGAGCCGUCUAAGGUGAGGCUCGUGAUUGGGACUAAGUCGUAACAAGGUAGCCGUACCGGAAGGUGCGGCUG
rnacentral:rRNA from 1 species